AUUAGGUUAUAGGGCUAUGGUAAGGUUUAAGGUUUUUGGCGUUAGGGUUAAAAUCACUGUCCAAAACCUUUGUAGGAACUCUUUUCCAACCUUUUGGAGUUGGUUACAACAAAAAAAAUGUAAAAUGAAAAAAAAAUAUAUUUGGGGUGUUCGGGCUUCCUGAAUGUAAUACCCGGGUAUUAGAUUUUAAGGCUAGGGUAAGGUUUAAGUUUUUUGGCGUUAGGGUUAAAAUCACUGUCCAAAACCUUUGUAGGAACUCUUUUCCAACCUUUUGGAGUUAGUUAGACCAAAAAAAAAAGAAAAAUGAAAAAAAAAUAUUUGGGGUGUUCAGGCUUCCUGAAAGUAAUACCCAGGUAUUAGGUUAUGGGGCUAUAGUAAGGUUUAAGUUUUUUGGCGUUAGGGUUAAAAUCACUGUCCAAAACCUUUGUAGGAACUCUUUUCCAACCUUUUGGAGUUAGUUAGACCAAAAAAUAUGAAAAAAGAAAAAAAAAUAUUUGGGGGUUUUCGGGCUCCUGAAAGUAAUACCCGGGUAUUAGGUUUUGGGGCUAUGGUAAGGUUUAAGGUUUUUGGCGUUAGGGUUAAAAUCACUGUCCAAAACCUUUGUAGGAACUCUUUUCCAACCUUUUGGAGUUAGUUAGACCAAAAAAUAUGAAAAAAGAAAAAAAUAUUAUUGGGGGUUUUCGGGCUCCCUGAAAGUAAUACCCGGGUAUUAGGUUUUGGGGCUAUGGUAAGGUUUAAGUUUUUUGGCGUUAGGGUUAAAAUCACUGUCCAAAACCUUUGUAGGAACUCUUUUCCAACCUUUUGGAGUUAGUUAGACCAAAAAAAAAUGAAAAAUGAAAAAACAAUAUUUGGGGUUUUCUGGGUUCCUGAAUGUAAUACCCGGGUAUUAGAUUUUAAGGCUAGGGUAAGGUUUAAGUUUUUUGGCAUUAGGGUUAAAAUCACUGUCCAAAACUUUUGUAGGAACUCUUUUCCAACCUUUUGGAGUUAGUUAGACCAAAAAGUAUGAAAAAAGAAAAAAAUAUUAUUGGGGGUUUUCGGGCUCCCUGAAAGUAAUACCCGGGUAUUAGGUUUUGGGGCUAUGGUAAGGUUUAAGUUUUUUGGCGUUAGGGUUAAAAUCACUGUCCAAAACCUUUGUAGGAACUCUUUUCCAACCUUUUGGAGUUAGUUAGACCAAAAAAUAUGAAAAAAGAAAAAAAUAUUAUUGGGGGUGUUCAGGCUUCUUAAAAGUAAUACCCGGGUAUUAGGUUAUGGGGCUAUGGUAAGGUUUAACGUUUUGGCGUUACGUUUAAAAUCACUGUCCAAAACCUUUGUAGGAACUCUUUAACAACCUUUUGGAUUUAGUAAGACCAAAAAAAAAUGAAAAAUGAAAAAAAAUAUAUUUGGGGUUUACGGGCUUCUUGAAUGUAAUACCCGGGUAUUA